rnacentral:lncRNA from 1 species
GGUAGCAGCCCUCUAGCAGCAAGAAAUACAGAGCAGCAAUUCUUCUUAGAUUUUAAUAGAUCCUACAUGCAUUAAACCACCUUGGACUUUCAAAUCGUGGAGUCACUGCAUGAAGAAAGAAAUGCCUACAGAAAGAGAAUGUACAUGAAAGGACAGCUGAGAAUCUGGUAUUGGCUCUCAGAUGCCCUCUUCUGUGCUUGGAUUUAUCCUAGUGAGAAUUCUCCUCAUUUCCAGCUUCUUUUUUGGGUAGUCCAAUUGAAAAAGCAAGUAAGACCUAUGAUGAACUAGGAUUAGAAAUUCAUUGAGGACAACUAUGAAUUUUUAUUAGAUCAGCCAACAUAUUAGUAGAGAAGACUGCCUGCUGGAAUAGUUUCUCUCAAUUUGAGCUGAAUAAUCUGGUUAAACUUUCACUUCAUCAAAAUGGUACAAAAAGUCUGAGCAUACACAGCUAAUUGGUGCUGUGGAGAAUAAACUGUACCCUUUUAUCUAUAGGAUGAGUAAAAUAGAAUACUUAUUUUCUGUUUUAUUAUUUAGAAUUCAAUUUUGAAUUCAAGAAGACAUACUCAUAUCUUAGAAAAAAUAAAAAGGAAAAGAAAAUUUGUAUUCCCCUUGGAUAAUGUAUCAGACUGUGCCUUAUCCAAGGAGCCUUUUACUUUCUCUCUGCUCUCUCCUUAAGAGGCAGCUCCUCAUAAUUGAUUGUAGACCCAGUAGACAUUGGCUGGUUGGACCUGAACACCUGAAGUACUAGCUUUUACACACUGGCAUCCACUUUUCAAAAACAUACAAAUAAAGUGACCACUACAUUUCCACUUACCUCUUUUUCAAGUGGUGAAAAUAUUCCAUUUAGAGUCAAUCAUAUAUAUCAAGUCAAGUCCCACUUUAAGUAUAUAUGGCCUAUAGAAAAACACUGUUUAUUUAAAGUCUACUUCCUUUCUUAUCUUCCAUAACUACCUCUCUGACUAAAUUAAGUAGUCAAUUCUGGCAAAACUUUCCAGUUUUUACCUCUAUGGGUAUGACUUUCACUUUAUGUGAAGCUUACGGCCACUGCUUGUCAAUAUCAGUUUUGCUUCUGGAGUGUACUCAACCCUUCCCUAUGGCAUUGUGGAGUUCUGCCUGGAAGAAGACACAGUCCUUAUCCUGGAGAGCAUAAUAAGCCAAUGUGAUAAUUUAAAUCUGAGCAUUAAAGCACUAUUAGAAAAAACAGAUGAGAUCAACAUGAUCAGAGACAAACAGCUAAAACAUUAAAACAAAUACAGCAGACGAGAAACAUGAAACAACGAGGGAAGUGAAAAGAAUCGUGGUAGCUCCAGUUCAUUGGUGGGAUAAACUUGCAAUUAAUAUUAAUAUUAUGCUUGUAUAUGGUGGUUAUGUACGUGAUAACUGCAAUGCUUGUCAUCUGAUAAUGAUUGGCCCAACUAAAGAUUUAUGCAUCUUGACCUGUCACAGUGAUUGAACUGAAACUCAAAUGCCAUGACUGAACUGAAAUACACUGACUUUCUCACCAGUGGUUUAUUUUAUUCAUAAG